rnacentral:lncRNA from 1 species
UGAUGAGAUCCUGAUGUUUAUGUUUCAUGUUAUUAUGUUUCAGCAUAAUAAUGCAAGGCCCCAUGCCACAAGGAUCUGUACAUAAUUCCUGGAAGCUCAACAUUUCCCAGUUCUUCCUUGGCCUGAAUACUCACCAAACAUAUCACCCAUUGAGCAUGUUUUGGAUGCUCUGGAUCAACGUGUAUGACAGUGUGUUCCAGUUCACACCAAAAUUGUGUAUAAACGAUCAUACAGGAGGUUUUGUAAUGAUUCCUAUGUUGAAGAUGUGAAAAAUAUUUGUUGGUCUGAUGUGUGUAAUGAGGAACAUCCGGACACUACACUUGACGCAUUUAAGAAACUGCUUCUUUCGGUUACUGAUAAGCAUGAUAGGCCCAUCAUGAAACUGACUGUUAGAACUACCAAAUCCCCAUGGAUAGAUGAUGAAUUAAAAAAAUGUAUGGCUGAGAGGGAUGAGGCAAAGGGAAUAAAAAAUAAGUCUGACAACACAGCAGACUGGCAAACAUAAAGUAAAUUGAAAAAUCACAUAACUAAACUGAUAAAAAGAAGAAGAAACUAUACUAUGGAACAAAGAUAAAUGAUAUAAAGAAUGACAGUAAAACGCUAGGCAAGAACGCAAACUUGGUUCCAUCUUUCAUUGAGGCAGAUGGCUUGUUCGUAACAACCUGGAUGGUAAAUUGCUGAGGUUGGUAGCAGAAUACAUUGUGACUCCAUUUUGCCACAUCUUCAAUUUAAGCCUAGAAGACAGUGUGAGCCCUCAGACAUGGAGGGAGGCAAAGGUCAUUCCGCCACCCAAACAGUGGCGGUUCUAGACCAUUUCAACUGGGGGGUCCAAGCUGGGGCCAGUUGUACUGUUAGAGGGGCCAGUUACAUUAGACGUUAUUGUUGUCAUAUCGUUUUCUUCACUGCAUUGCAGGCAUUAGCAGGCAAAAGACCAUGUUCAUAAUCAUUAGUGUUCCGCGUUGCCAUUGUCUAAUAAUGGAUGAAAAAAAACCGAUAGCAAAAAUGAGUUAUGUAAAAAUUAUUUCAUACUCCACAUUUAGGGGGGUCACAAGGGGGUCCAAAAUACACUAGCAAACUUUUGGAAAAAACGUUAUUUUCUAGAAAACAAAUUAACAACAGACUUUCAGCAUGCUUAUAGGGAAGGGCAGUCAACAUGCUCAGCACUGAAACAAAUUACUGAUUAUAGGCUGAAAGAAAUUGAUAGUAAGAAGAUUGUGGGGGCUGUUUUGUUAGACUUCAGUGCAGCUUUUGAUGUCAUUGAUCUUAAUAGAUACAAGUGUAUGUAAACUUCUGACUAAACUGUAACUUGAGAUCCAGGGCAGAACAGUGGGACAGGACAGCCCCCACUCCUACAUCCGAAGCAUCAGCCUCCACCAUGAACUGAUGGGAUGGGUCAGGAUGAACCAAUAUGGGAGCAGUGGUGUAGCAGUGCUUGAGAUCCCGGAACGCCCAGUCAACAGCUGAGGACCAUGUGACCGGAACCUUGGGAGAGAAUUCUGCGGCACCCCGCAAGCUGUGCUGCAGUAUGAUGCAACUUUUAAAGGAAGAACCAUCGAAAGGGAAAAGAGUUAAGGAGUGAACUGGGACCGGCUGAUUCACUAUGAGUAAAGCCUUUUAUACUAUUCACGUGUGUGAAUGAGCAUGUCUAUGCUGGAAAUAGAAUGCAUGGGAGUCAAUAAGAGAAAACAGACCUGCUGUGAGUGUCAAUGGCAUCACAAGUAUAUAGAACGCCAAAUUGGAAUACAAAUGUUCUCACGCCUCAAUGCUGAUAAAAUGAG